GGAGUAGAGAAGGGGAAAGAAGCAUCUGAACGGCUAAAUUGUGCCAGCAGCGCUGAGAGCCAGAGUCACGGUGGAGGAUGGCCUAGAGUCUGGAGCUGCAGAAGAGGCAGGGAGGAGAGAAGGGGAAACAAGCAUCUGAACGGCUAAAUUGUGCCAGCAGCGCUGAGAGCGAGAGUCACGGUGGAGGACGGCCUAGAGUCUGGAGCUGCAGAAGAGGCAGGGAGGAGAGAAGGGGAAACAAGCAUCUGAACGGCUAAAUUGUGCCAGCAGCGCUGAGAGCGAGAGUCACGAGACCUUGCUGAGGACGUGGUUGUCUGUCCUUCCCCCGGGGAUGCCGUUGACUGUGGCCGUCUCAGGCUCGCGUGGCUUCUCUCUGCCCGGCCUCACCGUCCUUGCAGCGCGGGGGCGAAAAGGGACACACAGAGCCCUUCCCGGCUGUGGACAGGAGCUGCCUCGGCUGAAGCUGGAGACACCAACGAAAGGUGGAGGAUGGCCUAGAGUCUGGAGCUGCAGAAGAGGCAGGGAGGAGAGAAGGGGAAAGAAGCAUCUGAACGGCUAAAUUGUGCCAGCAGCGCUGAGAGCGAGAGUCACGCCCGUCGCUCCAGGAGCCAGGCGACGGACGGUCCCUUCCCUGCCAAACCAGGACAAGCGUGUGCCGUGGUUUAGCCCCAGCUGGCAACUCUGCACCAGGGAGUUGC